UAAAAAUUAAGGCUAAGUGUAUGUUCAUCAAAGGAGUGUAAUGAUUGGUGUUGCAGUUCACGAAUUCGCUAGCAACUUUUAUCCCUGACGCUCUCUUAUUUCGGCGAUUUCUGCUAUUAAUCACCGUAGAUGUUACACGGUCAUUUGUCGCAAAUGAGACUUGUCCACAGGCAAAAUUUCAACGAAACAAUCAGUAUGAAGAGUUCAUGUUUAGAAUGUGUUCUGAACACGUUUUUACGCCUUCACAAGUACCUGAACCACAAUGUAAGUCAGUCGAUGUAGCGAUAAUUCAAAAUAUCAGUGAUAACAGAACUGGAAAAGUUGUCACGUCGGCCUUACACCGUCUUCGACAGAAGUAAGACACAGUUCCCAUUUCGAUUAGUGGAUGCUUUAUGUACCCAGCCACAUCUAAAAGAGAUAAUCACGAAGAUUGAAAAUGACUCUUCAAGAAUUACCAGCCUAAAAGAGCCAUAGUUGAUAAUAAACUGUGCAAAAUGAGUAUUGGUCCAGUGCGUAACUGAAGACGUUAUGUGAUGAGA